CGUAGGCAGCAAGCGUUGUUCGGAGUUACUGGGCGUAAAGGGUGUGUAGGCGGUUAUUUAAGUUUGGUGUGAAAUCUCCCGGCUCAACCGGGAGGGUGCGCCGAAUACUGAAUGACUUGGAGUGCGGGAGAGGAAAGUGGAAUUCCUGGUGUAGCGGUGAAAUGCGUAGAUAUCAGGAGGAACACCGGUGGUGUAGACGGCUUUCUGGACCGUAACUGACGCUGAGACACGAAAGCGUGGGUAGCAAACAGGAUUAGAUACCCUGGUAGUCCACGCCCUAAACGAUGCAUAUUUGGUGUGGGCAGUUCAUUCUGUCCGUGCCGGAGCUAACGCGUUAAAUAUGCCGCCUGGGGAGUACAGUCGCAAGGCUG
rnacentral:rRNA from 1 species